UAAUACGGAGGAUGCAAGCGUUAUCCGGAUUCAUUGGGUUUAAAGGGUGCGUAGGCGGGCUAUUAAGUCAGUGGUGAAAUCCUGCAGCUUAACUGCAGAACUGCCGUUGAUACUGAUAGUCUUGAGUUUGGUUAAGGUAGGCGGAAUGUGUAAUGUAGCGGUGAAAUGCUUAGAUAUUACACAGAACACCAAUUGCGUAGGCAGCUUACUGAGCCGACACUGACGCUGAGGCACGAAAGCGUGGGGAUCAAACAGGAUUAGAUACCCUGGUAGUCCACGCCGUAAACGAUGAUUACUCGCUGUUGGCGAUACACUGUCAGCGGCUAAGCAAAAGCAAUAAGUAAUCCACCUGGGGAGUACGGCCGCAAGGUUGAAACUCAAAGGAAUUGACGGGGGCCCGCACAAGCGGAGGAACAUGUGGUUUAAUUCGAUGAUACGCGAGGAACCUUACCUGGGCUUAAAUGUAGAGUGCAUUUUCUAGAGAUAGAAAUUCCCUUCGGGGCUUUCUGCAAGGUGCUGCAUGGUUGUCGUCAGCUCGUGCCGUGAGGUGUCGGGUUAAGUCCCAUAACGAGCGCAACCCUUAUCGUUAGUUGCCAGCUGGUAAAGCAGGGGACUCUAGCGAAACUGCCACCGUAAGGUGAGAGGAAGGUGGGGAUGACGUCAAAUCAGCACGGCCCUUAUGUCCAGGGCUACACACGUGUUACAAUGGCCGGUACAGAGGGCUGCUACCUGGUGACAGGAUGCUAAUCUCGAAAACCGGUCUCAGUUCGGAUCGAAGUCUGCAACUCGACUUCGUGAAGCCGGAUUCGCUAGUAAUCGCGCAUCAGCAACGGCGCGGUGAAUACGUUCCCGGGCCUUGUACACACCGCCCGUCAAGCCAUGGAAGCUGGGGGUGCCUGAAGUCCGUAACCGCAAGGAGCGGCCUAGGGUAAAACUAGUGACUGGGGCU
rnacentral:rRNA from 1 species